AACGUAGGUGGCAAGCGUUAUCCGGAUUUACUGGGCGUAAAGUGUGUGCAGACGGGGCUUCAAGUGGUGUAUGAAAUCGCUCGGCUCAACCGGGCGCGGGUAUGCCAGACUGGAGUGCUAGAGGGUGCGAGAGGGACGUGGAAUUCCGGGUGUAGUGGUGAAAUGCGUAGAGAUCCGGAGGAACCCCUGAGGCGAAGGCGGCGUCCUGGCGCACUUCUGACGUUCAGACACGACAGCAUGGGGAGCGAACGGGAUUGAGAAACCCCG
rnacentral:rRNA from 1 species